rnacentral:lncRNA from 1 species
UUUUUUUUCGUCCGGACUCUCAUCCCGAUGUGGGGGAAUCAUAGUCUCCAUCAUCCUUUCCUCACUGGGGCAAUGCUCUAAUAAUGAUGAUCAUCACACUUUUAUUUACUUACAACUCAAUAUUACAACUCGAUAUCUAGAACAAAGAUAUGACUCUAUAUGAAUGCCUCCGGCGGUGUACCGGGAUGUGCAAUGAUCUAGCGUAGCAAUGACAUCAAAAAACAGACAAGUCAUGAAAACAUCAUGCUAGCUAUCUUACGAUCAUGCAAAGCAAUAUGACAAUAAAUGCUCAAGUCAUGUAUAUGAUGAUGAUGGAAGUUGCAUGGCAAUAUAUCUCGGAAUGGCUAUGGAAAUGCCAUGAUAGGUAGGUAUGGUGGCUGUUUUGAGGAAGAUAUAAGGAGGUUUAUGUGUGAUAGAGCGUAUCGUAUCACGGGGUUUGGAUGCACCGGCAAAGUUUGCGCCAACUCUCGAGUUGAGAAAGGGCAAUGCACGGUACCGAAGAGGCUAGCAAUGAUGGAAGGGUGAGAGUGCGUAUAAUCCAUGGACUCAACAUUAGUCAUAAAGAACUCACAUAAUUAUUGCAAAAGUCUAUUAGCUAUGGAAACAAAGUACUACGCGCAUGCUCCUAGGGGGAUAGAUUGGUAGGAAACUACCAUCGCUCGUCCCCGACCGCCACUCAUAAGGAAGACAAUCAAUAAACACCUCAUGCUCCAACUUCGUUACAUAAUGGUUCACCAUACGUGCAUGCUACGGGACUUGCAAACCUCAACACAAGUAUUUCUCAAUUUCACAAUUACUCAACUAGCACGACUCUAAUAUCACCACCUUUAUAUCGCAAAACUAUUGCAAGGAAUCAAACAUAUCAUAUUCAGUGAUCUACAAGUUUUAUGUAGGGUUUUAUGACUAACCAUGUGAAUGACCAGUUCCUGUCAUCUCUCUAAAUAGAUAAGUGAAGCACGAGAGUUUAAUUCUUUCUACAAAAGAUAUGCCCACGCUCUAACAAAUAUAAGUGAAGCAAAAGAGCAUUCUACAAAUGACGGUUGUCUAUGUAAAGAGAAACAGGCAAUCCAAGCUUCAAAUGAUAUAAGUGAAGCACAUGAAGCAUUCUAUAAAGCCAUACUCAAAAGAUAUAAGUGAAGUGCAAUGAGCAUUCUAUAAAUCAACCAAGGACUAUCUCAUACCAGCAUGGUGCAUAAAAUAAAAGUGAAAACUAAAUGCAAAAGACGCUCCAAGAUUUGCACAUAUCACAUGAAUGAAACGAAUCCGAAAACAUACUGAUACUUGUUGAAGAAAGAGGGGAUGCCUUCCGGGGCAUCCCCAAGAUUAGACGCUUGAGUCUCCUUGAAUAUUUACUUGGGGUGCCUCGGGCAUCCCCAAGCUUGAGCUCUUGCCUCUCUUCCUUCUUCUCACAUCGAAACCUUCUCGAUCAUCGAACACUUCAUCCACACAAAACUUCAACAGAAAACUCGGUAAGAUCCGUUAGUAUAAUAAAGUAAAUCACUACUCUAAGUACUGUUGCAAACCAAUUCUUUUUUUGCAUUGUUUCUACUGUAAUAUAACUUUUUCAUGGCUUAAUCCACUGAUAUAAAUUGAUAGUUUCAUCAAAACAAGCAAACUAUGCAUCAAAAACAGAAUCUGUCUAAAACAGAACAGUCUGUAAUAAUCUGAACAUUCACCAUACUUCUGAUACUUGAAAAAUUCUUCCAAAAUUAGUUAAAAUAAAAAACAUUGUAUAGAAAUACAGUGCAAAAAGAAUCAGAACCAUUUGAAGUUCCAGUAAAAAAAUAAAAAUCGCGCACUAUAGCCAAAGUUUCUGUCCUGCACCGUACAAACCAACAAGCAUUGUAAACAUCCUAAAGGCAAACCUUGGCACAUUAUUUUUUUAUUCCUAAGCUUUAUAAAAGCACUCAACAGAAAUAAAUGACUCUCUAAAACUUCCAGGUUGUCUCCCUGGCAGCGCUUUCUUUAAAGCCAUUAAGCUAGGCAUAUAGUGCUCAAGUAGUGAAUCCACCCGGAUCCCAAGGUAUAUCAAAGCCAAUUUUAAUUAGCAAUGAUUUGUAAUUUAGUAGUGAGCACAAAGCAACAUAUAUUAUGUAAUGACGAAGUCUAACUCUCUUCCUAUGCAUCGGCAUGUCAUAAAAGAACAAUUCAUGCACACAUAGUAAAGGCCAAUGCAUAGUAUAAACAGUUUCUUGCAAUUUUAUCGUGUUGGAAACAUAGAGAGGUGGAGAUAUAGUUCCUCUCUCAUAAUAAUUGCAAGUAGGAGCAGCAAGCACAUGCAUAUUAUAUCUAUAAAAAUCAUCAUGUGUAACGGUAAAAGGCAACCCAUCAAUAUAAUCCUUAAUAAAUGCAAACUUCUCCGAUAUAGUGUAGUCGGGAGAAUUCAAAAAGAUAAUAGGACUAUCAUGUGUGGGUGCAAUAGCAACAAUUUCAUGUUUAACAUAAGGAACUAUAGCAAGUUCAUCUCCAUAAGCAUAAUUCACAUUGGCAUCUUGGCCACAAGCAUAGCAAGCAUCAUCAAAAAGGGAUAUUUCAAGAGAAUCAAUGGGAUCAUAGCAAUCAUCCUUCGGUAAGCACGAAGGGAAUUUAAACAAUGUAUGAGUUGAAGAGUUACUCUCAUUAGAAGGUGGGAACGGGUAGCUAAUCCGCUCUUCCUCUUUGUUCUUCGCUCUCCUCAUCAUCUUUUUCAUCCAAUGAGCUCACAGUUUCAGUAAUUUCUUCUUCCAUAGACUCUUGCAAAAUAUUAUUCUCUUCUUGGACAGCGGAGACUUUCUCAAUAAGUGCAUUAAUAUCGUAAUUGUAUUCAUAAUUCUCAUAAAAAUAUUUAAGGAUAGCUAAAUUUGCAGGUCUAUAACCUGAAUCAUCAAAAUCUUCAAACUCUUUAAACAUAGAUUUAAUUUCAUAAGCACCCAUAAAAGCAACAAAUUCUUCUAUUUGUUCCACAUCAUAGUAAUCAUAUAUACCUCUAGCAUAAGAAGCCAAGGUUUCAUUAUCAUUAAAUUUGCAUGAAAAGGGAAGGUGUGGAGACUUCAUCCUAGAGCAACAAGUAUAAUCAUAUCUCAAGCAUAGUUGCCUAGCAUACCACUUCAACAUAUAAAUUUGAUCCCAUAAUAGUUUCCCUUUUUGUGUCAAGCGAUAAUCCCUAAAGUAUUCACGUUGAUCCAACAUUACUCCCAUUACCAAAUUGAAUGGGGUUUUCUCUGGAUUAUCAAAGUAGUACAUAAUAUCUGUCACAUAACGAGCAUCGAGGGUUUUAGGAGGUUCCUCAUCUCCAUGAGUAGCAAGUACACCUAAUUUUUUUGGUAUUUCGUGUUCCAUAUCCAUAACUAAAGAUAAAGAACAACUAAGAACAGCAAAUAAAAAUUACUUAGUGAUAAAGCAAACAAGCACACACGAGAAUAUUCACCCCACGCUAUUGCUCCCCGGCAACGGCGCCAGGAAAAGGUCUUGAUAACCCACAAGUAUAGGGGGUCAAUUGUAGCCUCUUUCGAUAAGUAAGAGUGUCGAACCCAACGAGGAGCUAAAGGUAGAACAAAUAUUCCCUCAAGUUCUAUCGACCACCGAUACAACUCUAUGCACACUUGACGUUCGCUUUACCGGAAACAAGUAUGAAACUAGAAGUACUUUGUAGGUGUUGUUGGCUAGGCUUGCAAGAAAGUAAAGAGCGAGUAAAUAAAAGCUAGGGGUUGUUUAGAUAAGGACACAACUAAAUUAGUAAAGAGCUUUUUGUUACGAGAAAGUUAUUUGUCCCUAGGCAAUCGAUAACUAUACCGGUAAUCAUUAUUGCAAUUUUAUUUGAGGGAGAGGCAUAAGCUAACAUACUUUCUCUACUUGGAUCACAUGCACUUAUGAUUGGAACUCUAGCAAGCAUCCACAACUACUAAAGAUCAUUAAGGUAAAACCCAACCAUAGCAUUAAAGCAUCAAGUCCCCUUUAUCCCAUACGCAAACAACCUACUUACUCGGGUAUGUGCUUCUGUCACUCAUGCCACCCACCAUAAGCAAAUCAUAAACAUAUUGCAAACCCUACAGCGGGGAUCCCUCACGCUUGCACGACACGGAAUCUUGAUCAUCAAAUAGCCCAUAGGACAAAACGGAUCUACUCAAACAUCAUAGGAUAGCCAUACAUCAUUGGGAAAUAAUAUAUAGCGUUGAGCACCAUGUUUAAGUAGAGAUUACAGCAGGUAAGAGAGAGGUUACACCGCUGCAUAGAGGGGGGAAGAGUUGGUGAUGAUGGUGGUGAAGUUGUUGGUGAAGUUGUUGGUGAAGAUUGCGGUGAUGAUGAUGGCCACGGCGGCGUUCCGGCGCCACCGGAAGAGAAGGGGAGAGGGGGGCCCUUCGUCUUCUUCUUCCUUGACCUCCUCUCUAGAUGGGAGAAGGGUUUCCCCUCUGGUCCUUGGCCUCCAUGGCGUGGGAGGGGCGAGAGCCCCUCCGAGAUUGGAUCUUUCUCUCUGUUUCUACGUUCCGUUCCGCUGUCCUUUCACCGUUUCGUAUAUAUAUGGAGAUCCGUAACUCCGAUUGGACUGAAACCUUCGCCGUGAUUUUUUACCAAAAAUUAGCUUUCUUGCGGCCGAAGAAGGGCAUCAACCGACUUACGGGUGGCCCACGAGGGCCAGGGGCGCGCCCCCCUGCCUUGUGGCCACCUCGGGCACCGUCUCGCGUGGAUUUUUCUUCCGGAAUUUUCCAAAUAUUCCAAAAAUAAGCUACGUCCGUUUUUAUCCCGUUUGGAUUCCGUUUGAUAUGGAUAUUCUGCGAAACAUAAAACCUGCAACAAACAGGAACUGGCACUGGGCACUAGAUCAAUAUGUUAGUCCCAAAAAUAGUAUAAAAAGUUGCCAAAAAGUAUAUGAAAGUUGAAUAAUAUUGGCAUGGAACAAUCAAAAAUUAUAGAUACGACGGAGACGUAUCAUUGAGUUCGCAUAAAUCGAGAUUAGGAUUUGUCACUCCGAUUGUCAGAGAGGUAUCUUUGGGCCCUCUCGGUAAUACACAUCACUAUAAGCCUUGCAAGCAAUGUGACUAAUGAGUUAGUUACGGAAUGAUGUAUUACGGAACGAGUAAAGAGACUUGUCGGUAACGAGAUUGAACUAGGUAUGAUGUUACCGACGAUCGAAUCUCGGGCAAGUAACAUACCGAUGACAAAGGGAACAACGUAUGUUGUUAUGCGGUUUGACCGAUAAAGAUCUUCGUAGAAUAUGUAGGAACCAAUAUGAGCAUCCAGGUUCCGCUAUUGGUUAUUGACCGGAGAUGAGUCUCGGUCAUAUCUACAUAGUUCUCGAACCCGUAGGGUCCACACGCUUAAUGUUCAAUGACGAUCGGUAUUAUGAGUUUAUGUGUUUUGAUGUAUCGAAGGUAGUUCGGAGUCCCUGAUAUGAUCACGGACAUGACGAGGAGUCUCGAAAUGGUCGAGACAUAAAGAUCGAUAUAUUGGAAGGCUAUGUUUGGACAUCGGAAUGGUUCCGGAUGAGUUCGGUCAUUUUCCAGAGUACCGGGAGGUUACCGAAACCCCCCGGGGAGUCAAUGGGCCUUAUUGGGCCUUAGUGGGAGAGAGGAGGAGGCAUCCAGGUGGAGGGCGCCCCCCCCCCUCCCCAAGCCCAAUGCGAAUUGGGUGGGGGCCACCACCCCCCCCCCUUUCCUUCGCUCUCUCUCCCUCUUCCUUCUUCUCCUACUCCAACAAGGGAAGGGGGAAACCUACUCCUACUGGGAGUAGGACUCCCCCCUUGGGUGCGCCCUAUGAGGGCCGGCCCUCCCCUCCUCCACUCCUUUAUAUACGGGGGAGGGGGGCACCCCAUAGACACACAAGUUGACAGUUGUCUUAGCCGUGUGCGGUGCCCCCCUCCACAGAUUUCCACCUCGGUCAUAUCGUUGUAGUGCUUAGGCGAAGCCCUGCGUCGGUAACUUCAUCAACACCGUCACCACGUCGUCGUGCUGACGGAACUCUCCAUCGGCCUCAACUGGAUCAAGAGUACGAGGGACGUCACCGAGCUGAACGUGUGUAGAUCGCGAGGUGCCGUGGCGUUCGGUACUUGGAUCGGUUGGAUCGCGAAGACGUUCGACUACAUCAACCGCGUUACUAAACGCUUCCGCUUUCGGUCUACGGGGGUACAUGGACACACUCUCCCCGCUCGUUGCUAUGCAUCACCUAGAUGGAUCUUGCGUGUGCGUAUGCAAUUUUUUUGAAAUACUACGUUUCCCAACAUGUUCUACGGUGUGGCUAUAUGUCUCACUGGACUGAGAUUUAAGAGAGAAAAAUGAAAAUCUGAAAAGAAAGUUUUGCACGGAUCUUGAUGUAAGAUCCGACAGACCUAUAUAGCGUCGACUGCGACUUAUAGCAAGCAUGAUGAAUAUAAGGACGAUGACAGUGGAUAAUAAUUGUCUUACAUAUUUAGAAACAUAAUUAAAAAAUCCAGACGCGGCAACGCCCGAAAUACACAAGGGCAAAAGAAGAAGGAAGACAACGAUCUGGCUCACUGAUCUCUACUUUCUCGAUGUGUUGCUGCAGGCCGCGGGAACUAGUCUCCGCGGCGAGCGGCGACGAGCUCUUUCUUGUCCUUAAGAUGCUGCUUGAGAGCCCUCCACCAGCCUUCUGCGCUCGAUGCGCAGCAUGGCAUUCUCGUCCAUAAGUUUCUCAACGAUGACGCCGGUCCUCUUCAACAAGGCAGUGGUCUGCUCCUGCUGCUCCGCACUUCCGACGAUCUUCGCCCUCAGCAGGUCGCGCUCGGCCUGGAGCUUCGCAUUUCUCUCAUUUAGUUGCCAGAUGACGCCGGUAGUCUGUUCAAACGAGGCUUUCAGGUCAUCCUGCAACCUCGCCCACCUGGAGAUCUGAUCCAUCUGCCUAAGGACGAGGGCACGCAUGCGCCUGUAAGAGUCCUCGCCUGCCCGCGAGACAUUUUCCCAGGCCACCGCGGCGCGGGAGGACAUCUCUGCUGCAUUCGCGGCGCGUGGGACAUCUCUUCUGCUUCCGCGGCGCGGCCGGCCAAGCCUGCUGCAUCGACGGCGCGGCGGGACCUCCAUGCUGCUUCGGCGGCGCGGUGGGACCUCUGUGCUGCUACGGCCGUGCGGCGGGACAUGUUGGCUGCUUUCACGAUGAGGCGGGACAUCUCUCGUGCUUCCGCUUCCAGGCUCGCCUCUCCCUGGUGGCAAUCUCUCGACCCAGGACUCGCGCUGGCCAUGGCGAACGCAAGAGAACGAUGAUGAAUGACUUGUUUGUUUUUGACUUUUUGUGGAUGAGGAGUUGAGGAAUUUGGAGUCAUCUUGGAGUAGUAGUAUUUAUAACUGCGUAGUAAUACGCUCCUAAGUGGGAAACCGUUUAGGUUUUGAUCGGUGUGAAGAGGUUUGCAAUUUGGAAUGUGACGGGACGCAUGCUCAAAAUUUACUGACGGUUAUAAGUGCGGCACUAUUUCCGAAAGGCGUAACGUGGGCACGUAUGCCUUCUCGGCCGCGUACGUGGCGUUUGCACCAUAGGGUGCACCGCAAUAGGCAAUGUCAGCACACGUCUUGUUCCAACAACCGUGCGCGCUCGUUAUUACCAUCGCGCAUGCUUCUUUUAAUUAGAAUGUGUGUGCCCGUCUAGCGCACACACGUUGAUCUAUCUAACUGUUUCAGUUUGUUGUGGCUAAUCGCAAACAGUUCAUCCAUGUGAAGUGUAUGCCAUCAAUCGCAGACACUUUGAACUGGCUGACCCGUUUCUGUUCUGUUGCCUAAUCGCAAACAGUUAAUCUUUCUGAAGUGUAUGCCCUCAAUCACACACACCUUGAUCUGGCUGGCCAUUUCUUUUGUGUUGCCUAAUCAUAAGCAGUUCAUUCGAGUGAACCGUAUGAUCUAUAUCGCACACGCCUUCAUCAGGCUGCCCGUUUCUUUUGUUCCACCUCAUCGCAAACAGUUCAUUGGACUGAACCGUAUGCCCUGGAUCGCACAUGCAACUAAAAUCUAAACCGUGUUUGAUGGCUCCGCAAUCGCAAACGUUUUGCACCUUUUUGAUGGUUCUUUUACACCAACGUUUGCGAUUAUUGCAUCGCACACAGUUUAGUCGAAGGGUCUCUGAUUGUAGUGUCGCGUUAGCAGCAUCCUGCAGUAGUGAACACAUGUCUAUGGUCAGGAAAUUUAACCAUCUUUGAUUAACGAGCUAGUCAAGUAGAGGCAUACUAGGGACACUCUGUUUUGUCUAUGUAUUCACACAUGUAUCAAGUUUCCGGUUAAUACAAUUCUAGCAUGAAUAAUAAACAUUUAUCAUGAUAUAAGGAACUAUAAAUAACAUCUUUAUUAUUGCCUCUAGGGCAUAUUUCCUUCAGUAGGGGCCACCCAAGUCAGCAUCCAACAUAUGUUUCCCUCGUAUGAGGCACAUCAAUACAAUGACAUGCAUGAUACAGGGUAUUACCUCAUGAUACGUCUCCAACGUAUCUAUAAUUUAUGAAGUAUUCAUGCUAUUAUAUUAUCCAUCUUGGAUGUUUAAUGGGCUUUACUAUACACUUCUAUAUUAUUUUUGGGACUAACCUAUUAACCCAGAGCCUAGUGCCAGUUUCUGUUUUUUUCCCUUGUUUCAGUGUUUCGCAGAAAAGGAAUAUCAAACGGAGUCCAGACGGAAUGAAACCUUCGGGGGAGUUAUUUUUGAAACAGAAGCAAUCCAGAAGACUUGGAGUGUACGUAAGGGAAGCAACGAGGAAGGCACGAGGCAGGGGGGGCCACCCCCCUAGGUGCGCCCUCCACCCUCGUGGGCCCCUCGUGGCUCCCCUUACCGACUUCUUUCGCCUAUAUAUAUCCAUAUACCCUAAAAACUUCGGGGAACAGAAUAGAUCGGGAGUUUCGCCACCGCAAGCCUCUGUAGCCACCAAAAACCAAUCGGGACCCUGUUCCGGCACCCUGCCGGAGGGGGGAACCCUCACCGGUGGCCAUCUUCAUCAUCCCGGUGCUCUCCAUGACGAGGAGGGAGUAUUUCACCCUCGGGGCUGAGGGUAUGUACCAGUAGCUAUGUGUUUGAUCUCUCUCUCUCUCUCUCGUGUUCUUGAGGUGAUAUGAUCUUGAUGUAUCGCGAGCUUUGCUAUUAUAGUUGGAUCUUAUGAUGUUUCUCCCCAUCUACUCUCUUGUAAUGGAAUGAGUUUUCCCUUCGAAGUUAUCUUAUCGGAUUGAGUCUUUAAGGAUUUGAGAACACUUGAUGUAUGUCUUGCAUGUGCGUAUUUGUGGUGACAAUGGGAUAUCACGUGAUUCACUUGAUGUAUGUUUUGGUGAUCAACUUGCGGGUUCCGCCCAUGAACUUAUGCAUAGGGGUUGGCACACGUUUUCGUCUUGACUCUCCGGUAGAAACUUUGGGGCACUCUUUGAAGUACUUUGUGUUGGAUUGAAUAGAUGAAUCUGAGAUUGUGUGAUGCAUAUCGUAUAAUCAUACCCACGGAUACUUGAGGUGACAUUGGAGUAUCUAGGUGACAUUAGGAUUUUGGUUGAUAUGUGUCUUAAGGUGUUAUUCUAAUACGAACUCUUGAAUACAUCGAUCCGAAAGAAUAACUUUGAGGUGGUUUCAUACCCUACCAUAAUCUCUUCGUCUGUUCUCCGCUAUUAGUGGCUUUGGAGUGACUCUUUGUUGCAUGUUGAGGGAUAGCUAUAUGAUCCAAUUAUGUUAUUAUUGUUGAGAGAACUUGCACUAGUGAAAGUAUGAACCCUAGGCCUUGUUUCCUAGCAUUGCAAUACCGUUUACGCUCACUUUUAUCAUUAGUUACUUUGCUGUUUUUAUAUUUUCAGAUUACAAAAACCUAUAUCUACCAUCCAUAUUGCACUUGUAUCACCAUCUCUUCGCCGAACUAGUGCACCUAUACAAUUUACCAUUGUAUUGGGUGUGUUGGGGACACAAGAGACUCUUUGUUAUUUGGUUGCAGGGUUGUUUGAGAGAGACCAUCUUCAUCUUACGCCUCCCACGGAUUGAUAAACCUUAGGUCAUCCACUUGAGGGAAAUUUGCUACUGUCCUACAAACCUCUGCACUUGGAGGCCCAACAACGUCUACAAGGAGAAGGUUGCGUAGUAGACAUCACCUCACCACGAGAGCUUGAACCAGGGUAAAUCCUUGUCCAGUGUGUACCUGUUCGGAUACUCUAUGCGUGCUCCACCCCAUGAUAACCCUAUGUUGGGAUUUGUCGCUUUUCUGCACCAACAUGCGUCCUCAUUGGUCGUCGCACAGAUCGGGGUGGACGACCAUCUCCCUCCACACUUCCUAUUGGGGGUCUCCCUGAAGCCUCCACCAACACCCGCCAACUUGCGACGCGGUGAUCUCAUGAGUAUCACAUCACAAAUCUCAGUUGGAUCCAUACAUGAUCAUUACUUCUCAAGGAGGAGGAUUGAACGACCAUAGUCUUUGGGUGCAACCGAUGGGAGGUGGUCUCUCGAGAUUUGUUCAACCGAUUUGACCGGUAGCCUAUUUUUUGUGAUAUGAGAAGUCACGAGGAAUAGGAACCAUGGAUCCAGCAUGGUUCCAUGGUUGACACUUUUUUGUAAGAAAAAAGUUCAAUCCAUUUAUCAUCUGUUAUGUUGGUACAAAGAACACCAAAAAUAAUAGAAACUACAACCAGCUUCGUAGACCACCUAGUGACGACUAUAAGCACUGGAGCAAGCCAAAGGCGCACGAGAAUCAUCACCCCUCUCUUGCUGGUUCCGGGCAAACCUUGUUUAGUAGACAUGCAGAAAGUCGUCGUGCUAAAGCUUUGAAGGACCAGUGUACUAGAACAACAACCGUCGUCGAUAAAGAGAAGUUCAGAUCGGAAGGGUCCUAAUUGACGCCACAUGAACAAAAGACUGGAUCCAAACAGAUACACCGAAUACCAGCACCGACCGAAUCCCGUGAGAUCCGUCAGAGACACGACUCCACACGCCAUCCGACAACUCUAGAUGCAGCACCGGGACGGGGGCUGGGUGAGAGGGGUUUAUUCCAUCAUCAGGGAGCCGCCGCCUCCUCGCAUAAACCCUAACUGGACUGAAAACUAUCACUAAGAACGGAGCAGGAGCCCUUCCGCCGGCAAGGGCUAGGGUCCACCCCGCCUCCAUGACCCUAAUGCUAUCGAAGACGACGCAGACCGGCGACGACGUCGAUGGGAGACAUGGAAACCCUAAUCGACUUUUCGCUAUACAAAUAAACCAAUGUCAGCUGGUCUGCACUUUAACCAGGCAUAACUUGAACAGGAACUAGUAUGUAGCAUGAGAGGCCACGGGGAAUAGGAACCAUGGUUCCAUGGUCGGCACUUUAGCCAAACAUAACGUGAAUAGGAACUACAUGUAGCACCAGGCUUUUGCCGUACCCCUAGAAAACAAGGAGCUGGACGGACUUGUUUGCAUUUUCUUUUAACCCCAAACAUAAUUUUGUAUAACCUGGUUAUUUUUCACAUUUCUUUUUUGCGGGAAUGAUUAUUUUUCACAUGAGAAGUGGCAAAACCGUUUUCCGUGUUUUUUUGUGGGUGUGUUAAAGACGGGCUAAAAACUCAUUUUUGAUAAGCCCAGCGCUAAAAGUCUGCUAUCCAUCCAAAGGCGUGUUUACUGCUCCUUACGGAGAGGGAACUGAAAAAUGGUGAGACACGGUGCGCCAUCCGAGGGGAAGAGGGCAGCACGCCAGCAAAGCGAAAGCGCCCCACCAUCAAAUCAAAGGCUUUAUUCCGGGGUCGGCACUUUAAGGUAAAGCCGGUCCGCCAUGGCCCGCGUCGACGAGAUGACCGAAUGAAUGUCUAGACCAGCACCACACCACUUGGCGACCAAGAAGAAAUUAGCGCCUCCUCCUGCUAGUGCAUAGUUUUAUCUCCUCUCGGUUAGGUAGGGCGAAAGCAAGAAGCUUCUCUUCUCUUCUCCGCUUGGGCGUCCGUCUCUAUCUACCCCGCCAGUCAGCAGGUUGGUUAGAAGCAAACAUCCCACAGCUACCAACCUGUCUGCCCCCUCCUCCUCCACCUUCCUCCAAUCAUACGAGCUCCUCCUCCUCCUCUGUUUUGUCUGCGCGCGCGGGGGGAGGCGGGUAUCGCAGAUUCCUCGGUUGCCGCUGCGGUCCAAGAACCGGGAUUCCGCCCUUGGUUCCACCCCCACCCCAAGGUCAGGCGAUCCUUCUUCUUGUUUGUCGCCAUGGUCUCAUCUCCUCCCCUUCUCUCUCUCUGGCGGAAAAUGGAAUGAAAUCGCCCGGACGCGCUAUGUUUCCAAGUUCCGUCAAUCGGGGAGCAUAAUCGCGGGGAUUCGGCGAGCAGUUUGCGGUCCAAAGCGUGACAAGAGAACCAACCACCGCCAAACCAAUGCGGCUUGUUUCCUAAUUUGAUUUUCAUCCGCCAUGCGGGCCUUCUUGUUUUUAUGUUCCCUCUGACCUGCGUAGAACUGAAUCUGUCUGUCUGUCUCUCGAGUCCCGGCUAUGAGAGCUCUCGGACGAAACCAGUUUGAUUCAGUUCCUGGUUUUUCCUCUCAACCUCUUGGUCAUCUGUUGGCCACCAGAGUUCAGUUUAAUUCUGAUUUGCGUUGUCACCUAUAGACGUACGUCGAUUGUUCAGUCCGUGGAGGAUUGUUCUGCUGUUGAUUAGUGGAUCCCCUGCAUCCAAGUUCAGAGCAGAGCAGCUAUUUGUUUUGUUGGGGCUUCCAUGCAAAUCUUGCUGCAGUUUUCUUCUUCCUUCAGUUUGGCCAAAGGCAGGGUAGCCAUCUCUAAAUAUAUCUUUCUGCAGUUUACAGCAUAGAAUUUGUUUAGAUGGUUAGUAGGCAAGAACCAAUAGUAUUCGCUGGUGUUUUUGAGUCAUCUCCUCCUUCAGAGAUGCUCUAAGUGGCAACUUGUUUACCCCAUCAUACAGAUUCAGUCGAUUUUGCUAUGGAUUUUUUAGUACUCAAAAUAACUUGUUAAAAACGUAGUCAAUGGAGUAAUAAGUACUCACAUUAUUAACAUGGCUAAAUGUGAAUGGUUUAAUUUGCGCUGAGCAGUUUCGGUGAUUAACUCUGGUCAAAAGCUGCUUGUUAACCUGACAGGCAUGUGCACACAUUUUGAUGAUUCUUUCUCCCCUUUGCAAGCAAUUUUUAUGGUUCUUUAAUCUGUAGUUACUAGUACAACCUGUAACCAUCAUUGUACCUACCGAUUCCUUUCACCUUAAUGGCGAUGUUUCGUUUUCCUGCAAUGCCUUGCUUUGGUAGCGUCAGAAUAAAAGUUCUCCCUCCCAGUCAUGUUGUACCAAGAACAUUAAUUUUAUGCCAAAGAAGGCCUUUAUGCAAGGAAAUUUUAGAUAGUGUUGUUGUGUACUCUAAAGUCUGACAGGCAUAUGUUCUCAUGAUACAUUUAUGCAAAGACGUUUAGAUAGUGUUGUUGUGUACUCUAAAGUCUGACAGGCAUAUGUUCUCAUGAUACUCUGCUCGAUGUCUACUCCAUUCCAGGUGCAUUUGUGUGGAUGAAGAUGGCAAUCCAAUAAUUGCCUAACAGAAGCCACCCAACCUGUAAAUUCAGUCUUCUCUGCUUCCAGCAAAAUGUCAGGUAUAGUCUUUCUUAGAAAAAAAAAAGUAUGCAUAUCGUCUUGCAUUGCUGAUCUGUUUGCUAAUUUGUAAUGACGUGUUUCGCAUGAAGUGCGGCGACGGUCGGAGAGCACGGAGGGUCUGUUCUUAUUCGACGAGCGAAAAGACCGGAGGUCAGACGUGGAGAACUCAGAGGAUGAGAGGAGAAGGCUGUCCAUUGGCGGGUCACUUAAGAAGAAAGCGCUGAAUGCAUCAAGCAAGCUCACACAUUCGCUCAAGAAGCGGGGGAAGAGGAAGGUGGAGCAUCGGGCUUCUUCCUUCACCAUUGAAGACGUCAGAGAUGAGGAGGAGGAACGCGCCGUGUUCACAUUUCAGCAAGAGCUUUUGAGCAGGAACUUGCUAUGCGACAAGCAAAAUGACUAUCACAUGUUGCUGAGGUUGGUGCUCCAACAUAACUCAGCAGCAGAGAAAGAGCUACCGAAGCAUGGAUAGAGAAUUUCUUGCUUUGUUUACAAGUCUAAAACUUCCCUGCCUCUAUAUAUACUGUAGGUUUUUGAAGGCAAGGAAAUUUGACACUGAGAAAGCCAUUCAUAUGUGGGCUGAGAUGCUCCAAUGGAGAAAAGAAUUCGGUGCGGAUACAAUACUCGAGGUGAGUGAGACUAAUGACGCAUGCUGGCCUAUAGAUGGAAAAUUAUCUUAAUCUAUAACUAGAUUUGUACCUCUUCUCAACAAUAUAACCAACACUUGCCAUCUUGCAACUGAAUCCUGUAGGAUUUCGUUUUUGAAGAGCUAGACGAGGUGCUUUCCUACUAUCCUCAGGGUUACCAUGGAGUUGACAGGCAAGGAAGACCAGUAUACAUCGAGAGAUUAGGGAAAGUUGAUCCAAAUAAACUGAUGAACAUCACUACUGUUGACCGCUACAUCAAGUACCAUGUGCAAGAGUUUGAGAGAGCCUUCUUGGACAAGUUUCCAGCAUGCUCUAUCGCGGCAAAAAGGCAUAUUGGUUCUACAACCACUAUACUAGAUGUUGAAGGCGUGGUAUGAUGGUUCUUCCCAUAUUCGCAGGAUCAUCUUAUCUCUAUGUAGAAGACUAACUUUGCCAAUUUUUAUUUUGGGACCCAAAAUAGUUAGCAUAAAGAUCACGUGCUGACAUUUCCCACUCUAUUAUGCUGCAGGGUUUCAAGAACUUCAGCAAAACAGCAAGGGAAAUGUUAACUAGAAUGCAAAAGAUAGACAGUGAUUAUUAUCCUGAGGUAUGCCUAGGUUCUGUUUCUUAUCUUGAUGAAUACUUGGUGCCACUUUGUUUAACACUUUAAAUGUAUGCUCAGACACUGCAUCAGAUGUUUGUUGUAAAUGCUGGCGGUGGUUUCAAGCUACUAUGGAAUUCAGUGAAAGGUUUUCUUGACCCUAAAACAGUCUCAAAGAUACAUGUGAGCAUGAGUCUGCUGUUAUUUUCCUCUUUUUUCAAAUAAACAAUUCUGAUCGAUCCUCAAAUUUAGGUUUUGGGAACAAAAUUCCAAAGCAAACUUCUUGAAGUAAUAGAUGGAAGGUGCACUUCUCAUUUACAACAAUUUGGUAUAAUGUUAUUGAUCAGAAAGCUUUCUCCUGCUACCUUUGACUGACUGAAGACUUCUUUUUCUAUUUGCAGCCAACUUCCUGAAUUUUUGGGUGGAACAUGCACUUGUGCUGGUGAGGCAGGAUGCCUGAAGUCUAACAAAGGUCCAUGGAAUGAUCCUAACAUUAUGAAGGUGAACUUAGUUUAUUUUCUCUUGCGUUAUAUGUGCUUCUCUUUCAUUGUUUUUCUAAAAGCAGAGAUUUUCAGUUCAGUUUUUGAAUAUUAAGAACUUGACAAUGCCAUGUUGACAAAGAUUACCAUAAAUAUAUGAAAUCCCACAAAUAGCUUUGUAGUGGCAUGCUUCAAGUCGAGAUUCCAUGAAUAUAUGAAAUGCCAAAAAUAGCUUUGUAUUGGGCAUACUUCGUGGCAAUGUACUUCUCAACUGCUGGACAAGUUUGUGAAGUAGUCUUCUUCUUCUUCAAAAGGAUACUACUGCACGCAAUUCACGGUGACCUGUCCAGCUAAACAUACCGCUAACUUUGAAACUCCUCAUAUGCUUUAUUUAGAUUUCUUUCAAAGUUCUUUGUCCUCACAAUUUCAGUAUCACUUUUUUCAUACAUGAUAUACAACAGCAUUCUCAACUGCAGUACCAUGUGUUUGCUUUUAGGUUGCACAUAACAAGGAAGCAAAAUUUUCAAGGCAUACAAGACGCUUAUCUGAGAUCGAGCAACGAAGGGGUUCAUUUGCUAGGCUACAUCUUUUGAAGGCAAGUUUAAUACUUCGAACCACUAGUUGUUACUCAUCAUAUGAUCAAAACCCUUUGUUUCAGUUAAAACACCAUUAGCAACUUACCAGUUCUCUGGACCUAUCGGUUUAAAGAAGCCGACUGUAAGGUACACGCCACAUGUUGGAGUGUUUACCCUAUCCUCGUAGUUAAUCGCAAUCCAUGCACUUGUUUGCAUAGUGAUAUUCAGUUUCCACACACAAAAGAGAGUAAUGCGCAUUGAUUGUGCCUCUUAAAAUUGGAACCCUUUGUGGUUUCAUCAGCAAUGUUUAUCUUAGCGUCCAUAAUAAUUUGUCCUUUUUUUCUCUCGUUGCAAAUAACAGGGUAGAAACAGUGACACGUCAACAGCUGAGUCAGGAUCAGAUGUUGAUGAUCUGGGUUCUCCUAUGAUGAGAAGCACAUUAGGGUGCAGUCGAUUAGCUCCAGUUCGUGAAGAAGUGAGCUUUUCCUCCUGAAUCUUAACCUUUGUCCUCAAAAUAUACAAAUGAUUGAUGUGUGCAUACUGAAUCUCCUAAGUUUCUACCUCAAAAUACUGAAUCUCCUGCGUUUUACACAGAUGCAGAUGAGAGCACGAGAGUCUGCAGCUUACUACAGUUGCGAUGAUCACUUUGUUGUGGUGGACAAAACAGUCGAUUAUGGCAGAGGAGGAUCAGUGCCAGAUAAAACCUGUGCCUCAGAAGUAAGAGUUCAAGCCCGGCGUUUAGGCACCGACACAACACAAAGCAUUCCAGGUAUUUUUACUUGUGGUCUUCUGAGGUCACUUUAUGCAAAUAUAAAGUGAUCAACUAUUUUUCACUCUUUCCCCGUAAAUAUUUGCUGAGUUUGUUAAUUCUUACUGAAGAUCUUACUAUUAGUAUUGAAAUGAACAGAUAGUGCAAUGAACUAAGAGCACAUUUUGAAAAUAAAUAUUCAAGAUUUUCUCAUGUUUGUUCAUAAUUUUUUUUUACUCUCUUUAGAUUCUUCAAGAAACAGCCGUGGUAUACUAGUACCCAAAGAGAUGCCGGAGGAAGGGAAAUUCUAUCGAUUUCUCAGAUUACUGCUGGUUCUGGUUGUUAGAGUUUUUACCUUCUUACGCACAGUAUGCAGUCAGCCAGAGAUAACGAUGGUCAACAACCCACUACCUCCAGCUCCUGAGUUUGAACCCAUCUCUGGUGAGCAUCCCGCACUGGAAGCAUUCAGUGUGGACUGUGUCAGGCCUGUCAUUGAGCGCCUUCAGAAGCUCGAGGGUCAGGUUGAUGAGCUCGGAAGCAAGCCCCCAGAGAUUCCCCUGGAAAAAGAACGCUCCCUCUUGGACUCAUGGGAUAGGAUCAAAUGUAUCGAAUCUGACCUCGAAAGGACAAAGAAAGUAAGCGUUCGUUAACACCAUUGUUUUUCUUAUGAAUAGAUAUCGACAAAGUUAAGGAAAUACACUGUAUUCUAAAUGUUGGAAAUGGUCAAGCAACAAGAAUGCCGAGAUCAAGAACUUGAAAGACAACUUGAACAUUUUUGUUAGGAAAUAUUUUAAUAAGAAAAUACACUGCAUUCAAAAUGUUGUGAAUGAUCAAGCAACAAGAAUGUCUCAAGAAUUUGAAAGACAACUUGAACAUUUUUGUUGGGAAAGACAGGGGAGUGAAUAGGCUUUUUACUUAACAGCACUUUCAGCUAAGGGGCUCCAUUAUUACUUGGUACCAAGAACUGGCACAAUCAUCAUGCAUCCUUUGGAAAUUAUCUUUAUUUUCAUAUAGGGAAUUACCAAAUAUAUCUUGCUGCCAAUCUCAGAUGUAAUAUGAAAAAAAUAUCCCCUUCCAUGAAUCAGGUUCUGCAGGCUACUGUGAUGAAGCAACUAGAAAUUGCAGACUCAGUAGAGGAAGUUAUCUUGUCAAAGCUGCACGUAAGAUCAACUGCUUCUCUCUCUUUUCGCUUGGAUUGGCUUAUCACUGCAUUGCCAGCCUCACCAUUUUACUGCUUCUUAAUUUGUUUAUGCAGAGGCGAAGAUUUUGUGCGUAAUAGACCAUCAUAACUCCUUAACAAUACGCACCAUGGGGGUAAUUAAACUUGAGACAACAUUUGGGUGGACAAAUUUGGCGGGACAAGUUAUGCAUAAGACGGAGCCAACGAGUGCCGGAUGUAAUUUCAGUUCAGAUUGGCUCAAAUAAUGGGUGUUGGUCGGUCAUAGUGAAAUCACUCUGUUUCAUCUUUUUAUCUUCUACUCCCUCUGUAACGAAAUAUAAGACGUUUUUUGGUGUAGUUGACUACAAUAAAACGUCCUACAUUUUGUUAAAGAGGUUGUAACUCCCAAGAAUCUGUUUUUCAUGUUUGCAAAGAGGAUAAUGGAUGGAUGCCAUAAAAAUGCUUUACGUAUGUGGUACGUCAAAAUAUAGUUAGGCCAUGUACACUGGAUUGAUGUUAGUUUUUUUUCACGGUAAGGUCGAAGGCCAUAUAUCAAACAAAAGUAGCCAUUACAAGACCUUCCUUAUAAGAAUAUGAAAUUACAAGCAAAUCCUUCUGCAUCCAAGGGGGGCGCUUGUUGGAACUCAAAAGCUUGUAGAAGCAGUGGUUGGGAAGUCUUGUACUCCCUCCAUUCCUAAAUAUAAGUCUUUGAAGAGAUUUCACUAUAGACCACAUACGGAGCAAAAUAAGUGAAUCUAACUCUAAAAUGCAUCUAUAUACAUCCGAAUGUGGUCCAUAGUGGAAUCUCUACAAAGACUUAUAUUUAGGAACAGAGGGAGUAGAUAAGAAGCCAGAUACAAUGGUCUGUAUAGAUCUCCAUCCCGGAGAAGCUGGCACAUUGGAGGGCAAGAAGAUACUGCUAGACAAAGGAGGGUGACACAAAUCUCACAAGUUCCCUAACGGAACGGCAUAUGGCUGAGCUUCAUUGGACGGAGAGGAACUAGAGAACUAAGACACGUCAGAAUGCACAAACACUAACCACGCUAGACUGAAUGCCUGACGGUGGACACCAUCCUUUGACUCAUUGAGGUCACUGAGAGGAAGGGCAUCGACAUGGGGAGAGCUCAGGAACCGUUAUUCACAUUGCCGCCACUACCUAAACUUCACCGCGACAAAGCCGACGAAGAACUUGGAGAGACUACCAAGCACACAAAUCCGUGGUUCCCCUACCCUCACGUCGUUGUAGAACGUCAUUGAUGUGUUUGCGUCGAAUGCCAUGUCCAUGCCCAGGAGCAUAUAUGUUUUGAAACAUGUUUAUUAAUAUAGUUAAAAAUAACUUUGAUUAUUAUUUGGAACAUUGCGAAAAUAUGAGCAUAUAAUUGUUUGUGUGUACGAAAUGAAAUAUCCGUCAUGUAUUAAAAAAAAUGUCCCUAGUGCUGGGCCUAGCAAAAGAAAAAUCGGCGUAUAUUGGGCCCUCCAACUUCUUAAGAGGUUUAUCUAAAAGACUCGCGAUAUAACUAGGAAGGCCUUUCAAAUACCACACAUGAGUCAUGGGAUAUGUUCAUGUAUACAACAAAUAUACUCAUGUAUUAUUUUGUACGUAUUCAAAAAAACAUGAUUUUAAAAAAAAGUUCAUACAGGUGUGAAUAUAUGCUUCAUAUACUGCAAAAGGUUAUCUAAAAAUAAAAAAUAAGCAGAAAUCAAAAGGAAAAUAAAAAUGGAUACAGAUAGAAAUAUAGUAAACUAAAAAAAGAAAGAGAAACCUAUUUGUACCGGGAAUGGGCCAUGCGCGCGCAUGUGAGCGCUGAUGCAGUGAGCGUCAAAUAGGGAUUGUGGGUCAAGUAGCUGAUCAACACUGAUCGCAAAAAAGAAAAAAAGAAAAAACCUGAUCAACACUGUUUUCUGUCAACAGUUUUGCGAGCCUUUGACCAUGACCAGUCUUCCUUUCACAACAAUAAUUUCCAUUUUUCUGUCAAACAAUUCUGCGAGCUAGGAUUAGGAAACUGCCACCUGAUGAGCGAGAACGUGCCGUGCAAUCUCUGAGCUGACUAAUACUGAUUCGUGUACGCGUCUAAGACUUAUCCGACCCCCUUUUCAAUUCGCUCAUAUGACAACGCACGGUCUAGCUUGCCCCGAAACCAUUUCAGGUCAAAACAGUUGUACUACAAUGCCAAAGCGGACGUGUUUACAACAACCAGCAAUAGGUGAUCGACAGGGUAACGAACUGGAAUUUCAAGAGGCAAUAACCAGUUGACAUUUCCAGCUUGUUGUACUUGUGCAUCUCCCAGUCCCAGGGCUUUAAAUACCGGUACAGGGGCCGGCCUUUCCAAACCAAAGCUCUAGGAGCUCAAGCCGCAACGAUGGUUAGGAUGCUGGAUCUUGCUGCGGCCAAAGGCCUCUCCGAGCCUGGCAAUGUUGUGGGCCUAGCUUUCGUCUUCGUGGCCGUCGUCGCGGUCGUGGCUAUCGCCGUGUUCAGCUGCGCCGAUGGCCCGGACAGGUCCGGUGUGAAGCCUAGACGUCGCCGGCGUCAUUGGGGUGGCGGUGGCGGGGGAGGAGGGGGAGGCUGCGGAGGAGGCGGCGGCGGCUGCGGGGGUGGAGGCUGUUAAGGAAGCGCGUCGUGCAGAGCAGUCCUCGCAUAUAUAUGGGGACUGUGCGUUACAAUCUGUUAUAUAACUAUUGCACCACCGUCAUAUUUGUGUGCCUAUGGAAAUUUCAUCCAUAUUUUGACUUGUUGUGAAUAUAUUUGUACCACGUACCAUGUAUAUAUUUGUUUCUUGAUACCAUUUGGCUUGUCGCCUGUUGCCCCCGUUUUGAUGAGCUACCGAGGUUCCGAGCACUAUCUGUACAAAUACUAUUCAUAUAUGUGCUCGUAACUUUUCUUUAUUCGUAAUUUUGAGUACUUGUUCAGGCCAUGAACAUGUAGGCGGCAUCGCCAAGUGCCAAGUGUUAAGUUGGACGUCGCGUGCUCGGUCUAUGGUAAGGUGUUGCUUCAGCAAAUGCCCUUUUGGGCUAGGGCCAACGACGGCGAGUCCCUCCAGUGCCGUUUACCUUGGUGGCUAGAUAAAAUUGUUUGUGCCCUGUUAAACAUUGUAUUCUCUGUGUGUAUAGACACGGUAUUUGUAUAAACCAUGUAUAUCAUGUCGUAGGCGUGCGUGUAUCUUGUGUGUUGGUUAGGCAGGUAGGAUCGAUCUCUCUUAACGCUGUAGUUAUCCUGUAGAUAGAUGAGAUCGAUCCUAACCUCCCGAAACCUCUCUCUGUAAUCUCGCUGGCCUCGUGCCUUAUUUAACACGCACGCGUCCCUGCCUAGGGCAUACGCUUAACCCAUCCUUUCACAUGGUAUACAGAGCCCUUUCUCUUCAUCUCAUCUAGCCAUGUCGAGCUCCUCCUUCUCCGCCGUAGCCAUGGCCGCGCCCUCCAUUGCUUCCCUUGGCCACACCAUAACCGAGAAACUCACCCGCAAAAACUUCCUUGUAUGGAAGGCACAAGUCCUGCCGCACAUCAAGGCGGCAGGGAUGACCGGCUUCAUCGACGGCUCCGUCAAGGAGCCCCCCGCUGUGAUCGUCACGGAGAAGGAUGUCGCCGGCAAGAAGGAGCCUACCUCCGCGCCCAACCCCGAGCAUGCAAUAUGGGUCACCCAGGAUCAGCAGGUUCUCACCUUUCUGAUCGCAUCUCUAUCUCAAGAAGUCUUGAUGCAGGUCAGUACGUGCACCACGUCCGCGACUCUCUGGGCGGCGCUGUUGUAGAGCUUCUCGUCGCAGUCCAGGGCAAGGGUGAUCCAACUCCGCUCACAACUCGAGCACACCCGCAAGGGUGAUCUCUCCGCUGCGUCCUACUUCACCAAGAUGAAGGGCAUCGCCGACGAGCUUGCAGCCGCCGGCAAGCCACUCGAUGAGGACGACGUCGUCGACCACAUCCUGCAAGGACUCCUGCACGAACCCGACUACAAUGGGUUUGUUUCUGCAAUCUCCACCCGCACGGCUACCGAGCAGCCGAUCGGCCUCAACGAGCUCUUCUCGCUGCUGCUAUCGGCAGAAGCCCGCAUCGCCGCCCAGACUGCGUCCUACUCCGCCAACCUCGCGGCCAGGGGCGGUGGUCGCGAUGGUGGCAACUACAACAGCCGCCCCGGUGGCGGCAACGGCGGCGGCAGUGGUGGUGGCGCCCGCGGCUUCAACAACAACAACAACGCGGGCGGCUACAACCCGGGCGGCGGCGGUGCGCCGCAGCAAGGAGGUGGUGGCCGCGGUGACCGCGAGAAGUGCCAGAUCUGCAAACUGGAAGGACAUGGAGCGUGGCGCUACAAGAAACGCUUCGACCGCGGCUUCAACAACAACGUUCGCAACCCUGCGGGCAGAGGAGGUGGAGGUGGAAACCGCUCGGCCAAUGUUGUUCACUCCUAUGGGGUGGACACAAACUGGUACCUUGACACUGGUGCAACCGACCACGUGACCGGAGAGUUGGAGAAACUCGCCGUUCGCGACCGCUACACCGGCACAGAUCAAAUCCACACUGCAAGUGGACAAGGUAUGGACAUUGCUCACAUUGGUCAUUCGGUUCUCACCACCCCUCAUGGCUCCUUAAAACUUAACAAUAUCAUUCAUGCUCCACAAUCUGAUCAGAGUCUUGUUUCUGCCUACAAACUUAUUAGAGAUAACAAUGCUUUUCUCGAAGUUUACCCUGAAAUUUUCUUUGUUAAGGACCGAGCCACCCGGAGAACCGUUCUUCAAAGCAAGAGUAGAGGUCGCCUAUUUCCUGUGUCUGGCCGCCAUGAUGCACCUACCCGACAAGCUCUCAGUGUGGUCAAGCCAUCUACAUCAAGAUGGCACAAACGCCUAGGGCACCCUGCUCUCCCGGUGGUCCAGAAAAUUCUUCGAGAUUUUAGUCUUCCAGUGUCCAAUAAAAAAGAUCACCUCCUUGUGUGUGAUUCAUGUCAAAUGGCCAAGAGCCAUCAGCUUCCUUAUGCUCGUUCCACUAGUGAGUCAAAAGCUCCUUUAGAGCUAGUUUUUUCAGAUGUUUGGGGUCUUGGACCCGUCUCUGUUGGCAGGCAAAAAUACUAUGUUAGCUUUAUUGAUGAUUUUAGUAAGUUCAGUUGGAUGUACUUGCUUAAGAAUAAAUCUGAUGUUUUUGCGAAGUUUCAUAUCUUUCAGCAACAUGUUGAACGUCUUUUUGAUCGCAAAAUCCUUGCUAUGCAAACGGACUGGGGUGGUGAAUACCAAAAACUCCAUUCGUUCUUUGAGCACAUAGGCAUCACGCACCAUGUGUCGUGCCCCCAUGCACACCAGCAGAACGGAUCCGCUGAACGCAAACAUAGGCACAUAGUGGAGGUUGGCCUUUCCUUGCUCGCUCAUGCCUAUAUGCCUCUCAAGUUUUGGGACGAGGCUUUCCUCACGGCGGUCUAUCUUAUCAAUCGUGUCCCUAGUUGAGUCAUCCAUAAUUAAACUCCACUAGAGCGUUUGUUCGGCACAAAACCAAACUACACUUUCCUUCGUAUUUUUGGUUGUGCCGUUUGGCCAAACCUACGUCCUUUCAACAAACACAAGCUCGAGUUUCGCUCUAAGCAAUGUGUAUUCAUAGGGUAUAGUAGUCUUCAUAAGGGCUACAAAUGUUUGGACGUGUCUACUGGCCGUGUGUAUGUCUCUAGAGAUGCGGUGUUCGAUGAACACGUUUUUCCUUUUGCACAACUUCACCCAAAUGCCGGCGCCCAACUCCGAAAAGAGCUUGUUCUUCUUCCCUCCCACCUUCUCCCAUCUCCACAAUUUGUUCCUAGGGGUGCAGAAGAACCUAAUGAUCAUGUGUCCAUGUCGCAUAAUGCCUCUGCUGAGAGUGUGCAGGAAAGUAUGGAAUCAAUAGGUGAAACCGGCUAUGAUUUUAUGCUGGACUUGGACUCCACAGGGGCAGCCACAGAUGAUCCCGGCUCCGAUCCCCAUGUGGAUCCGGGCGGGCGAAUCCCCUCGGGAUCGGCCGUGUCAGGCGCAGGCGGAUCGCCUGCGGGAUCCGCGCCCGUCUCCGAUUCGUCGCCCAGGCUGGACGACCUCGCGGCGGGGCCAGGUGGGCCUCCCGCACGUGGCUCUGGUCGGGCGCUGGACGCCCCGGCUCCGCGGGCCGCUCCCGCAGUCGGGCCAGGCAGGCCCCCCGCACUUGGCUCUGGUCGGGCGCCGCUGCAGGAGGGCGCAGCUGGGUCCCCUUCGCGUGGCCCAGGUGGGGCCGUGUCCUUCGAUGCGUCCCUGGAUGCGCCAAUUGGCAGCGUGGGAGAGGCGGCUGGCUGCGCCGGCGCAUCUCUACAGGAGUUGCAUCCCAGCGGACCUUCUACGGCUGCUGGAUCUGAUGUGUCAUCUUCAUCCAAUCGGCUUCAACAGCACCUUUCUCGCCCGGCUUCGCCGCCUCCUGAACGCUCCCGCACCAGGUCACAGAGUGCUAUAAUUAAACCCAAACUUUACAAUGAUGGCUGUGUACGUUGGGGCUCCUUUUGUGCCACAGGUGAACCGCAAAGUGUGAGUGAAGCCCUUGGUGAACCACGAUGGAAGGAGGCCAUGGAUGAGGAAUUUGCUGCCCUUAUCAAAAACAGAACUUGGCAUCUUGUUCCACCAGCUAGAGGGAGGAACAUUAUUGACUGUAAGUGGGUCUAUAAAAUAAAAAGAAAAUCUGAUGGUACUAUUGACAGGUGCAAGGCACGCCUAGUAGCCAAAGGGUUCAAGCAAAGGUAUGGAAUUGAUUACGAGGACACAUUUAGUCCUGUAGUAAAGGCUGCUACUAUUCGGUUGAUUCUUUCAGUUGUAGUGUCUAGAAACUGGUGCAUUCGACAGCUAGAUGUUAAGAACGCGUUCUUGCAUGGUGUUCUCGAAGAGGAAGUGUUUAUGAGACAACCUCCUGGGUAUGAAAAUCACAAAUUUCCACGUCAUGUUUGUAAGCUUGAUAAGGCACUGUAUGUACUGAAACAAGCACCUAGAGCUUGGUACUCACGCCUGUCAUUGAAGUUGCAGUCACUAGGUUUCCUUCCUUCCAAGGGUGAUACAUCAUUAUUCUAUUACCAUCGCCAUGGGAUUACUAUUUUUAUGCUCAUUUAUGUUGAUGACAUUGUUGUUACAAGUUCAUCAUCUAAAGCAGUUGAGGCCCUUCUCAAGGAUUUGAAUAAGGAGUUUGCUCUCAAAGACUUGGGUACUCUUCAUUUCUUUCUCGGGAUUGAGGUGAAGAUUGUGCCAAAUGGUAUUGUGCUUUCACAAGGGAAGUAUGUGCAAGAAAUUCUUCAGAGGAUGGGGAUGAAAGGUUGCAAACCGUCGUCCACACCAUUGUCCACCUCUGAAAAAUUGUCUCUUCAUGAUGGGGAGGUACUUAGCGCCGAGGAUGCCACCAAGUAUAGGAGCAUUGUAGGAGCUUUACAAUAUUUGACAUUGACUCGACCAGACAUUUCUUAUUCAGUCAAUAAAGUUUGUCAGUUCUUACAUGCCCCUACUACUGUACAUUGGACUACAGUAAAAAGGAUCCUCGGGUAUUUGCAAGGAACUAAGGAUCAUGGACUCAGACUUGGCAAAUCGGAUUCAAUGCUUGUAAGUGCCUUUUCAGAUGCAGAUUGGGCAGGUUGUCCUGAUGACAGAAGGUCCACAGGGGGGUUUGCAGUCUUUCUUGGCAGUAACUUGAUUUCGUGGAGUGCUCGUAAGCAACCCACUGUCUCUAGAUCCAGCACAGAGGCAGAGUAUAAGGCCUUAGCUAAUGCAACUGCUGAAGUAAUCUGGGUUCAGAACUUGUUGACAGAAUUGGGUAUUCAUCAUCCCAAGGCAGCCUCACUUUGGUGUGAUAAUCUUGGUGCUACAUAUCUAUCUGCCAAUCCUAUUUUUCAUGCCCGGACGAGCAUAUCGAGAUUGAUUAUCAUUGUGUCCGUGAACGGGUGGCUGACAAGCUGUUGAAUAUCAGGUUUAUUCCUACUGGUGAUCAGGUAGCAGAUGGUUUUACCAGCCACUCACUCUGCGGCAGUUAGAAGCUUUCAGGCACAAUCUCAACUUGGAUAGUUGUGAUUGAGGGGGGGUGUUAAACAUUGUAUUCUCUGUGUAUAUACAUGGUAUUUGUAUAAACCGUGUAUAUCACGUCGUAGGCGUGCGUGUAUCUUGGGUGUUGGUUAGGCAGGUAGGAUCGAUCUCCCUUAACGUUGUAGUUAUCCUGUAGAUAGAUGAGAUCGAUCCUAACCUCUCGAAACCUCUCUCUGUAAUCUCGCUGGCCUCGUGCCUUAUUUAACAUGCACGCGUCCCUACCUAGGUCAUACGCUUAACCCAUCCUUUCACAUGCCCAUCACCUUAUUGUAUGUGUGUUCUGCUCCUAUUUGAUCGACCAAAUAGGAGCAAAAGAUGAAUUUAUACAUAGUUAAAAAUACAAGUAGGAAACAUAGAAACCCAACAACAAAUAACAUCCAAUAGAAACAAUUUACUCACAGUGAAGUGUGUUUCCAACAGAAGAAAUCUUUAGUGAUGGUAUGAACUAAUUGCCGUCCUAGAGCAUCCUCCUAAACAUAGUGCGGUGGUUCAGUUAUCUCGUCUAUGGCUACCACAACCAGAAGCCUGGCCUGUAGAUAAUGUUGAUGGUGCUAUUGAUACAAUAAAUUGGUGUCUGGUUCACGCAAUGUCAUCCGAAAUUAUGAAGGAACCUUUCAUAAGACUGUUCUUCACAGCAUAGGGGUAUUGAGAUCUUUCAAAAAACGUAAGGGUAUUGAGGGCUCUUUCGUAGUGGAAUUACUUGCUUGCUGGGAUGAAGUGGAGGCGGUGAACACAAGAAGUUUUAAGAAUGCCAUUCUACAUAUUGAUUGCUCAAACAUUUCACAGUUAUGGCAUGAUGAAAGGAGGAUGUCCAUGGUUCCACAAUUGAUCAUUGAACGGAAGGAGUUCCAGUCAUGUCUAUACUUUAUCCGAAAUCAUGUCUAUACACGCUUAAGGGCCAUUCAUCUGUUGAGUACUAGAUGGGUUAGGAGCUUCAGAGAAAAUCGCUGAAAAGAUUAGAAUAUGUUGAAAUUGUUUGGGAGAGAGAACUGGAAAAGUUUUUUAGUGAAAACCUGAGAACCAAAAAAGUUCCGGAACAUCCUAAAAACUCACGGGAUGGUUCAAGAAGGUUCCUCAACCCUCCUGAAGUUUCUAGAGGAGCCCAUGGGGCUGCUGAUGGAAAUAAUUGCAUGGAAAACAAAAAAAAUCCUACGAGACAACGAAUUCACCCAAGAUCUAAUCUACUUCUCCCUCCGUCCCAUAAUAUAAGAGCGUUUUUUACACUACAUUAGUGUCAAAUACGCUCUUAUAUUAUGUGACGGAGGGAGUAGAUGCUAGCACGAGUGCGGAAAGUCUACAUGCCCUUGUAGAACGAAAGCGCAAACGUUCUAAUGAACAUGGUUGGGGUAAUCAUACUUUCCUCGUGAUCCAAUGCGAUCCAGCACCAUACGAACGGCACCUCCGAGAUAUGCACACGUACGACUUGGUGACGUCUCCUUCUUCUUGAUCUAGCAAGCGUGAGGGAAAGGUAGAUGGGAUCUAGGUCGGCACCACGACGACGUGGUGGUGGAAUUUAUGUUGGAACUCCGGCAGGGUUUCGCCAAGCGUCUGUGGAGGAGGAGGGAGGAGUCAUCCAAAGCAUCUCUGAAAUUGUCCAUCACGGCCUAGGGUCGAGCCAUCCCUCCCUCCUUCUCAUAAAACAACAAUAUUUCAUUAAAAUCGCCCGCCGUCAGCCAAGGCUUCUUACAAUGAUUUUUUAAGAUCCCUAAAAGGCACCACGUCACCUCCUUCCACUAGUAGAAAAUAGGGUUUUGGUCCACUCUCAAUGUACACAUUAGUCCCGGUUGCAUUACGAACUGGUUUGAGACCUUUAGUCCCGGUUUGAGACACGAACCGGGACUAAAGGACUAAAGGGUGCGAUGCCCUUUAGUCCUGAUUCGUGUCUCAAACCCGGACUAAAGGGGUUCUGAAAUUUGUUUUUUGUUUUUCCAUUUGUUUUUUGUUUUUAGUUUCAGUUUCAAAUUGCUUAUAUCUUUUAGGAUAUUCGAUGUUUUUGAGUGAUUCUUUUUGCAUUAGAUUCAAAUUUUUGUCUAGUUUGCACAAUGCCAUUUGUUUUUAGAUUUGAAUGAUUUAAAUAUGAAUUUGUUCAAAUUUGCUUCAAACACUAGAUUGUGAAUAAUUUGAGUUUAAAAAUAGUUUUUAAUUUAAUUCUUUUUGCUCCUAGUCACAUGUCAGAUUGUUGUCACAGUAAGAUUUAUUUGGUUAUUUUUAGAAUAAUGUAAAUUAGGAUUUUAAUUAAAAAAGUAAUGCUUUGCUUAUAUAGUUGUUUUAGUCCUUUAAUUGUUGUUUUCAAUUAUUUUUAGUUAGUUCUUUCUAUAGAUUUUAACAUGUUGUAGUAUGCUUCUGUUAGACAACAGUAGAUAAAGUUUUAUAGUUAAUUAAUAUUAAUUUUGCUAUUGUUUUGUAUUAACAGUUGUUUAGCCUAUAAUAAUAGUUGAUGGUUAGUUUUGCUAUAUUAAAAAGUAAUUCUUUUUGACACUUUAAUAGAACGUGACUCUGGCUUGGUUAACCUUAGUUGUGACUCUUGUUGGGACGGUGCUAGCAGAUGUAGUCGACGGUAGGAUUGGAUGGACACCAUCCUGGACUAAAGGGGUUCAAACUCUACCCUCCCCCCCCCCAGUGUAUCGCCAUUUUAGUUUUGAAAAAAACAAAAGAAAAUGGUAAAAUCUUCAAAAAUUAAAAUCCUUCGAGAUGUAGUUAUAUUACUACAUCUACUAGUUAGGAAAAUUAAAAAAAUAUAAUUUUGGACAUGUUUUGCAAAAAAGUGUGAUGAAAAAGUAAAAAGACUAUAUCUUUUGCAUACGAUGUCGAAAAAAAGUAUAAUAUAUCAAAAUGUUCAGCACGAAAAGGAAAAAAGUUAUGCUCAAAUUUCAGUUUUUUUGAAUUUUGGUUAAAUCUGGUCAAACUGUGGGCAAACUACUUAUUCAAGAAAUAUUAGUGUUACUAAAUAAUUGUUCAAGAAUAUUAGUGUUACUAAAUAAUUAUUUAGUUUUUUAAUUUUGGUCAAAUCUGGUCAAACUGUGGUCAAACUACUUAUUUAAGAAACAUUAGUGUUGCUAAAUAAUUAUUGGUUUUAAGAAUAAUAGUUUCAAACUCAAACGGUGUAACGGGUGACUUCAUGCUCAACUUCAACUCCUAAGGGUUAAUAGGAUUGACAUCUUACUAUUGUCAGGAAAACAACAAGUGCAGACUUGCAAACAAGGGGGAAUAGAACUCGAAAGUUAAGCGUGCUCAGGCUGGAGUAGUGAGAGGAUGGGUGACCGGUCGAGAAGUUAGACGAUUUGGAAUGAUGAGGGAUGAUUAGAGAUUAGAGAUUAAAUUGAGCAGUGAUGAAGGGUGAUUAGAGAUUAAAUACAAAUAAUUAAGAAAUUUGAAAAUCAAGAAAAAAUUCAAAAAAAAUUCCAGUAAAAAUCAAAAAAAUUGAAAAAAAAUCCUUUAGUACCAACCAGAACUAAAGGUCGAGCUCCAGACAGCGGCCACGUGGAGGGCUUUUAGUCCCGGUUCGUAACACAACCGGGACUAGGGGGGUUAGUCCGCACCCUUUAGUCCUGGUUCCCCUCUGGACUAAAGGCCCGUCUUCUACUAGUGUUCUCGUUCAUUUUUUACUCUCUAUAGACCCUCUAAAACCCCACCCAAAACCAUCCUCCUCCUUUAUUAUCAUGCCAAUGUGGUACAUCUAGCACCACCCAUCCUUGCAAACAUUCCCUCAAAACACAUCAAGUCCGUCACUCUGACCAUUAGUUUUCUGAAUCAACAUGUUAGGGAGGCCUAAUUUCACCUCAGCCACUCCAACCCUUCUCCUAGGCAUCGGGUCCUCCUUCUUCAGGACAUCCAGGAGACCUCGAAUUUGUUGAGCCAUUCCCCAAACACCGGCAAUUCCAUGCCACUAGCCAGGGGCAACAUGGACCCCUAAAUCCUAAGACUAUAUUUGUGUGUGUGUGUGUGUGUGUGUGUGUGUGNNNNNNNNNNNNNNNNNNNNNNNNNNNNNNNNNNNNNNNNNNNNNNNNNNNNNNNNNNNNNNNNNNNNNNNNNNNNNNNNNNNNNNNNNNNNNNNNNNNNNNNNNNNNNNNNNNNNNNNNNNNNNNNNNNNNNNNNNNNNNNNNNNNNNNNNNNNNNNNNNNNNNNNNNNNNNNNNNNNNNNNNNNNNNNNNNNNNNNNNNNNNNNNNNNNNNNNNNNNNNNNNNNNNNNNNNUGAUACAUAAACAAAUCUAUCUAACUUCAUUUGCAUAAUAUUAGGAGUAACCUUUUAACCAUACACCUUUAGUUUAAGAUGUUUAUAAUAAUUCUACAUCAGAACCUAAUCAUGUGCACUAAAAUACAAAGAAUUAAAAUUAGGUAUGUACAUCAGAACCAUAAUCAUGUACACUGAAAUUUUAGAUGCCAAAAGAGAAUACAAAGAAUUAAAACUUUAUACAUCAUAACAAUAAUCAUGUACAAUGAAAAUGAAGAUGAAGGGCCUGUUCGGUUUCUCUCUACUCCUGCGACUCAGCUCCCGAAGUGGAGCAAGCUUCGGCAGCUUUUUAUGGAGCAGCUCAAACCGAGCUCCUCAGCUCCGCGCAGUUGAGCGGAGUGGAGAGAAAUAGAACGAUACCGAAAUCCCUACAUACUCCCUUCGUUUCAAAAUAGAUAACCCGACCUUAUACUAACUUUAAUACCUGUGAAAGGCUCUGUGAAAGACUAGACGAAUUCACAAUCAUGGUCUCACGGAUAGCUAGAUGUGAGGGCCAACCGGCCAAGGCAGGCGCGCAAUGGCAGCACGCUGGGUCGCAAACACGAAAACAUGGCGAACGUCCCAAGACUAUGGACCAGGCUGCCCCGCAUAGCGGCAUCAAGAACAAGAAUCCCGAGCGGCAUACCAAGUAUAAAGACGGCCUACCAGAUCAUGGGUCCCUCCCAGGCCGGGGCCCUGGCCAGGGCCGGCCCUGCCACUAGCCUCAUUGAUCCCUGCAGGGCUGGUCCGUCAAGCAAAGGCUUACUAGUGAGUAAUAAGUACUCCAUCUGUUCAUAAAUAUAAGAUGUUCUAACUUUUGUUGUCUGAAUUAGAUGUAUAUAGACACAUUUUACUGUGUUUGUUCAUUCAUUUCAGUCCAUAUAUACAUUUUUUCAUGGUAAUACGUGUCUCAUUCGUAUCAUAAAGAACAAAGUACAAGUCACGUAAAGACCGACAUGAUAAAACUGAAAUGAUAGCAGAACAUCUCUGAGCUUGACACCAACGUCCGUCACCUGCCUCCGGCACCACCACAACAGCCACCGAAGAAAAGAAUGACGAAUCACCUCCUCAUCCGAACUCGACGCGGCUCCAUCGCUGAUAUGCAGCUUUGCGGACUUUCAAGGUGGCUCACCAAAAGUGAAGCCCUUACCGUUGAACGAAUCAGACCGGGGCAACACCCCGGACACGCCAUCGAACUCCAGAUCUGGCACCCCACCACGACUAAAACGCCGAAGGAGAAAACCAUAUCUGCCAUCCACGAACCACGAGCCCAGCACAUGCUCCGUCUUCCAGAUGUCGUCGAUGCAGACCACAAUCUGUAUCCACUCCUGGACUACCUCCCAAGCUCCACGCCGACGCUGGAGCAAACGCCGUCGCAACGGCGGAGCCCGAGGACACAGGUCCACCACGAGGAUGCCGCCGCCGCCACGCCAUCCUUGCUUGAACAGACUGGUUUCCAAAUCCAUCCCCAACCAUUGGACCGAUGGCCUCGUCAGGGAAGGGUCCGAAGAAUCUUUAUUCAGCAUUGUCAUCGUCGCCGCCGAAGCAAAGACGAUGAACAACCUAAAAACCUAGACUACGAGAGAGUAAAAGCGAUCCACACGCGUGGAUCCGGCGACCCCCCUCACCACCGACGACCGAGAUCGCCGGCGGAGGGGGGCCGCCGGAGAGCGGCGUUGGAAGAUCUGCCUCCCCUAGCGGCGGCUAGGGUUCCAGCCGCCAGGGACAAGAGGAAAACAGUAGUCAUAUAUACUUGAAAUAUCCAAAACGCAAGAUAUUUGUCAACGAAGGGAGUGGUAUACAGCGUCAAGCGUACGUGUUAACGCCAGUUGCUGCUGCUGCUGCUGGCAACGAAAUGCAGCACGGAUCGAUCCCGUUCCAGCGUAAUUUAAACGCGUCGGACGAUACACGAGACGCGUGGAUUCGUGACGGUAGGAAUAGGAUCAGUCAACACCCUCGGCCCUUCAACUAGGCGGUAUCGGCACUCCCAGCUGGAUCGCACAAAAGGCGGAGCCUCCAGCAGCUCAAAUGGUGAGGGCGUUGGAUCUCGCCGCGGCGAGAGGCUUCGCCGCCGCCGCAGCCGACUCCGUGCAGCGCGCGCCCGGCGCCGUCGUGGGUCUGCUCUUUGUCCUCGUGGCCGCGGUCGCCGUCGUGGCCAUCGCGGCGUUCGGCUGCGCCGACGACGGGAGGGCCAAGCGACGCCGCCGCGAGCGCUGGGGCAGCGGCAGCGGCGCCGGCUACGGAGGCGACGGGGCCGGCGGCGGCGGCUGCGGCGGCGGAGGCGGUCACGGAGGCGGCGGGGGCGGCGGUUGAGGAGCUGAGCGCGCCACGCGAGGGGGUGGCUCCAUCCUGUCUACCUGACCCUGACGGACGGCUCGGCUUACUCUGCUUCUCUUUAGAAUUUCAUCGUCUCGUUGAAUGAAUCUGCGCUUCUGCAGUAUAGAUCGGGUGUAAGAUACUUGUAUGCUUAUGGACGCCAUUUUGCUAUGUCAUAGUGGCUGUUUCGAUUGUUCUAAUGAGUACUGAGCUAGAGACAAUCUGUAUGGAAACUUUGCUCUUUCUUGAUCGUUGUGUUCAUCAUGACCUCUUCGAUCGGCGGCGAGAACCACUGGCUAGCACCGUCCCGGAGGCCGCGAUGGGUGAACGGCCGGAUCAGGAAUUCUUCGGUGGCGGCACGGGCGGCGACGCCGGUCAAGGAACGCUGGUGAUGCAUUUUGUCCAGCUAUAUGCAUGUUUGUGAAGAUCAUUUUGCUGUUCCAUGGUGGAAGAUUCACUUGUUCUAAUGAGUACUGAGGCUACCACCGAUGGAGGCAAUCUCUACUGUCAAACUCUGAUCUUUUAUCCUUCUGAUCGUUGUGUGUGUUCAUCAUCGUACCCGCUACGGCGAGCACUACUAGCUGCCACCGUCCCGGAGGCGGGGGGAUUCGGCGGUGGCGGCAUGGGAGAUGUCCGAUCAGGAACUCGCUACUCAUGCUUUUUUGUCCAGCACCAGCAGUCUCAGUCUCCGAGAUGCCUCAGAUCCACACCAAAAAAGCCUGUGGACGUCCCUCCAGAAGAGCAGCCAUCGAGGAGCGAACGGAACAUGUGGUGCUAGCACUAGGCACUGCUCAUGCCGUCGGUGAGACCUCGCCGGGCCGUGUGGCUUGAGGCGACUAGCCAGUCUGGGCCGUCGGUGAGAAGACGACGGGAGGAGGCCCAAACAUGGCACGCGCCGAGGCCGCCCGCCCACGCAUGGCAGCGGGUACCGCGCGCUACGCGACACCGGGCCUCGGAGGCGUGCAUGGCCGACACAAAGAGAAAAGGAGAGGAGAGGUCUGGAGAUGGUCCUAGUGCUACUGUAGUACCAUGGAGCGAGUGCACAGCAAAAGAAUGUUUGCUGACGCGCAUGGUCAAGCAUGCGCACGAUGAUUGCAUUUGCAUCCGGGGAGCAACUUGGGUCACGAGGGUAAUCUGGCACUGUCACCUGUUCUAUUUACAUCAAGCACUCGGAAGCAACUUCAACGCGCCGGCCCAUUUCAUCCGUGCGUGUGUGUUUGAAUCGUGUGUGUCCGUCUGCAUUAAAACGGACACAAAAGUCUAUCCAACACGCCGACCCAAACGGGCACGCGUCCGCUUUUUGUCCGCGGGCGACCCAUUCCAGCCCAAAUUUGAGUCUUGUUUGCGUCAGUGCGGACAUGAGGCGGACGCGCACGACGCGUGCCUACUCCUCCCCUGGCCCGCCAGUCGGUGGCACAUAGGCCAUUCUCUUCCUCCCAUCGACAGCCUGCACACCCGGCCACCUCACCUCGUCGCCGCCGUCCCUCGGUUCCGGUGCCCAGACUAGCCGUCCGCACCCGCAUACCUUUCCCGCAGCAUGCCACCUUACAACGUCGCCGCCACUGCUCAGUAGCAGUGCCCAGGCCGGCCGUCCGCACCCACAUACCUCCCCCGCAGCACGCCACCUUACAACGUCGCCGCCACCACAGCCUUGUCGCACUGCCACCGCAGCUUCCACCUCGCCCGCGCGCCGACCCUGCCUGAAGCGGACAAAGGACGACGACCUCGCUCGUCGGACGCCGACAACGCCUGCUACCAGGUCCAUGGGAGGCGCGAGACUCUUCUCCGGCCAUCUUUAGACAACACCAACACGCUAUUCAACGGUUUGCCCGCAAGGUACAAAUGGACUCCGCUGGCGAGUUCUUUUUCCACAAUUUCAUUUGCAAGUCGGAUUAUUCUUCAUCCGACGAUGAGGAGCUUGUGGCUGCUAUGUUGGUCGCCCACGACCACCUUAGUAUGCAGCGGCCGAUGUGCCGGGGCUCCAUCCCAAGGCACACUCCGGCGUUGAAUCACAACCGAGAGAGCGGUCAUUUCCUACUCUGGAAGGACUACUUCGAGACACCCAACCUGCUCUUCAAACAUCACCUAUUCUGGCGUCGUUUCUGUAUGGCUAGGCAUGUUUUCAACGGUAUCUGGGAGGGGGUGGUGGCAUACAAUAAGUAUUUCGAGUGCAAGGAGGAUGCCCUUGGAAAGAUUGGCUUCUCCACUUAUCAGAAAUGCACUGCGGCUAUUCAGAUGCUUGCAUACGGAGUUCCCGGUGAUCUCAUUGAUGAGUAUGUUCGUAUGAGCGAAUCCACGUGCCUAGAGUCCAUGUAUAGGUUCUGUAAGGCUGUGAUAGCAGUGUUUGGCCCUGAGUAGUUGAGAGAGCCAAAUGCUGUAGAUACAGCCCGCUUGUUGGCGAUGAAUGCGAGCAGGAGCUUUCCGGGGAUGCUUGGUAGUAGAGAUUGUAUGCACUCGGAGUGGAGGAACUGCCCUUUUGCAUGGCAGGGGCAGUAUAGGGGCCAUGUGAAAGUUUGCACCGUCAUACUCAAGGUCGUGGCAUCACAAAAUCUCUGGAUUUGGCACUCUUUCUUCGGCAUGGCCGGACCUCACAAUGAUAUCAACGUGCUUCAACGCUCUCCGGUGUUUGCAAUGCUUGCUGAAGGCAACUGCCCGGAGGUCAAUGUUAACAUCGAUGGCCACAACUACAAUAAAGAAUACUACCUAGCUGACGGUAUCUAUCCUCAGUGGACAACUCUUGUGAAGACAAUCUCCAACCCUGUAGGAGAGAAGAGGAAGAGAUUUACCCAAGAGCAAGAGAAUGCUAGGAUGGAUGUGCAGCGUGCCUUUGUUGUUCUGCAAUCUCGAUGGGGCAUCGUUCAGUAUCCUACUAUAACUUGAAGCAUCAAGAAGUUGUGGGAGUUGAUGACUGAUUGUGUGAUCAUGCAUAAUAUAAUCGUAGAGUUUCAGUUUCUAUGACCAAGGGUUUCAGUUUCAGGGUGACAAUAUUGUGUCUAGCAUGGAGGAGCGACAAUGUUGGCACAGUUCAUCCAUUUUAAACAUCAAAUGCGUGAUUGCGAAACUCACAUUCAGCUGCAAAAUAAUUUGGUUGAACAUAUGUGGAUUCACGUUGGCAGCUAAUAGAUGUAUCUUUUUAAAUGUAUUUGAGGCAAUUUAAAUUUUAUUUGGCUUGUAAACUAUAAUAUAUUUAUUUGGCUUGUAAACUAUGAAUAAACUAUGAUAUAUUUGUUAACUAUGAUAUAUUUGUUUGGUUGUAAACUAUGAUAUAUUUGUUUGAUUGUGAAACUAUAUAAGAUGUUUGAUGUUUGUAUCUUGUUUGAAAAAACACGGCAGGCCAGCCUCAAGGACGAAAAUGCGUCUGUGUGUUGAGUGCACGACCAUGGUUACGGAUACAAUGGUACUACUCCAUUGAGUGACUGUAAACAAGAACCUUGGAAUUUAUAUAUAUCAUCUCUGACUAACCCUGGAGCGACCAUGCCGGCCCAGGAGUACAUGCAGGGGGGGCACUACCCCUAAUUUAAAGCGAUCGACCUAGAAAAAAAAAGGCGCAAAAGAGCAAAGCUACAAAAGAUGUCGCUGCUCUGCUUCCAUCCUACAGGGCUGGCUGGCUAAACUAUGAUGGCUCCAGCAGAAUCAUGUCAGUAGGAGGGCAGCAAACAAACAACAAAGCCCAGCCAGCCAUCACAAAAGCAUAGUGGCCAAAGCUACGAAAGGGAAAAGAAACUUCAGAAAACAGAGACUAAAAGAGACUCUCUAAAAUAAAAGCUACCCAGCUUGCUUGCUUGCUUGCUUGCGUUGAGACCCAUUUUGUUGUUAGCACAGCGGUCGUCUUCUACCCUGCGUCUGACCUGUCAGCGUCUCGUCCAUGCAUGCUGCUUCCUAUGUUUGCACCAUGCCAUCAUGCCCUACCCUACCCCCCACCUCCUCUUUUACCUCUUUGUUGUGUUGUGUGGCUUCUGAGAACUAUGUCAGUCUUGAUCUCAUCACAUCGCAUCCAUCAGGGCCAGGGCCACCUUCAUCCUCCACCGCCCCGAAUCA